rnacentral:rRNA from 1 species
GCUUGAUGGAGCGACACACCGUGCAUGAUGAAGGCCUUCGGGUCGUAAAAUGCUGUUGUAAGGGAAGAACAACACUACUAGGAAAUGAGUAGUGCCUGACGGUACCUUAUCAGAAAGCACCGGCAAACUAUGUGCCAGCAGCCGCGGUAAUACAUAGGGUGCAAGCGUUAUCCGGAAUUAUUGGGCGUAAAGCGUUUGUAGGUGGUCAAGAAAGUCUGAAGUUAAAGCCCGGGGCUCAACCCCGGCCCGCUUUGGAAACUCCUUGACUAGAGUUAUGAAGAGGUUAGCGGAACUCCAUGUGAAGCGGUGGAAUGCGUAGAUAUAUGGAAGAACACCAAAGGCGAAGGCAGCUAACUGGGAAUAUACUGACACUGAGGGAGGAAAGCGUGGGGAGCAAACAGGAUUAGAUACCCUGGUAGUCCCCGCGGUAAACGUUGAUCAUUAGCUGGUGGGAGACUCACUGGCGCAGCUUACGCGUUAAAUGAUCCGCCUGAGUAGUAUGCUCGCACGAGUU